CGUGUCGGCUGCUUUGUUGAGC
rnacentral:siRNA from 1 species